AGAACGCAGCGAAAAUGCGAUACCUAGUGUGAAUUGCAGAAUUCCGCGAAUCAUCGAGUUUUUGAACGCAAGUUGCGCCCGAGGCUCGUACCGAGGGCAUGUCUGUCUGAGCGUCCA
rnacentral:rRNA from 1 species